rnacentral:lncRNA from 1 species
CAAACAGGCAACUCCAGAUGGGAUCAGAUCGGGACUGAGCCAGUGCCUCUUGGGAAAGCGGAGCGCCAGGAAGGACUGAGCCCAGCCUUCAUCAGAAUGGUAUUCUGACAGCUUACGGAAAUAGAACAUUCGUGCAUGAGACGUGAGCUUUGGGGUAGCAAGGCCCAGGACACUCCUGAGCCUGGGUGGACGUGCUCGGGUGCUAUAAUGGGAGCAAAAACGGAUGCAACAGGCUGAAGAGCAGUUUGGGAGCCUCAGGUGAAGAUGCUGAGACCCAGGGAGGCAGUUUCCCGGAAACAACCUAAAUGCCCAGCAGCAGACAAAGGGCAUAUUGAGAAAAACAUCAGCAACAACUCUGGCAAAGCCUUAAUAUCCUCCACGUUUAAGGAGCAUUUAUCCACCACCAGGAGACAAAUGGUUUGAAUGGCCUUUUCCUUCACUUCCAUGAGGUCCCUGGAGGCACAGGACAGACCCGCAAACAGGAAGAGCAGUGGGGCAGGCCACAGGCUGGCACCCAGCACCCAGCCCAGCAGGCGAGUUCUAUUUAAACGAAGAAAGAAAGCACAUUCCAGAUCCUUUUGUUCAUCCAGAGACUUCAGACACGUCUGGAUUCCCAGUUCAUGUCGACUUAAAUUCCAGCCUAAUGAAGGUGUGGACAUCCGAGCCGGGCACCCAUCCUCUCAUUCAUCAGACAAACCUCCAGCCAGCACCUCUGACAGGUUUUCAGCAGUGUCUCCGAAUAAAUGUUGAAAACAACAACUUCCUAACAAGCAGUAAGCCGGUUGGGCUGACUGCAUUAAUCUAUUAGCAAUUAGAUGAUUGCCAUCUGCAGUCUGUGCUGUUGUCUGGAGUUGAAUAAAGUCAAGGCACACGUGUCGACAUGGUCAGGGAACUCCCUGCUAUUUUCAACAUGCUCCUUGAAGCCCAGCCUGAGAACUGCUGUCCUUUCCUGUAGCCUGGUAUCUGUGGACAGUGAACAGUCAACGCGUGAGCUAAUAAGCAUAUCACCAGCCUUGGGACACUCAGCAGGAUAGUGGCAGAGAUGAACUCCUUGAGCUAGGACCAAGCAAAGCGCAGCUCCCUUCCCGAUGGCUGGGCCAGAGGCAGCUGCUGUGACUCUUGGGAAAAGUUUGAACCACACCCCUGAAGAGCCCUCCACUCAGGACUGGGAAGGGCAUGCACGAGGGGCUGAAGGGGGCUCCCUGUGGCCAUGGCAGAGCCCUUGGGCAGCUGAGGCCCGCAGCCUCCCUGGCCUCAUCGCCCAUAGCCCCUCCUGUGGCUUCUGAUGGAAUCUGCAGGGGAGGGGCGCUGAGGGCGGGUGGCCCACUCCAUCGAGUUAAUGCACACAGCAGCCAGCAAAGGGCCACAUCCAUCGUGCAGGCGCAGACACCGAGCAGAGCCCCAGGAAUCAAUUACCAGGAGGCCGCAGAGGCUCACUGGGGGCUGGCUCUGGCCACAGACCAUCAUGCACCAUCCCAUUUAAUUCUCAGCAGCCAGUGAAGGGUCCAUGUGACCCUGCCUUUGAUGGUCAGCGCCUCCAGGGGUGGGAGGCUGAGCCUCUGCCCAAAGCGGCUCAGCUCACCCCGGCAGCUGGAGGUGGGCCCAGUCUCCUGAGGCUGAGGCCCAUUCCCCCUGCUCUGCUUCCUGCCUCCCCCAAAGAAGACAUCUCUGCAGGAGGCUUGCAGCCCACCUUCGAGGGCAGAGCCUGGGAGCCCGUCCUCCGGGGGACUGGAGCAGGACUCGCUCCGGGCACCCUUCCUCCUGGGCUUCUUUCCACCGUGCUAUGUUCCCGGCUCACUGAGGCCGGUGGUCCCUGUCUCUGAGUUUAUCAGUGGCCAUGUGCAAAUAUGGGCCAUGGUGACUGGGCUUACAAAGCCAAGGUGUUUAACCUGGGCUGGCAAAUCGGGAGGGAGAGGGGUAAAAGUGUCAUUCAGUAAAGAAGGCCAAAUAAGGAUGGGGGAUUUGAGCUGAUUUCCAACUGCAAAUAGGCAUCAAAUCCAGGGGCGACAUAAGGGAGAGGAGUUCCAAGACUGAGGUGGUUCUAGGGUGUGGGAUCUGUGGCCAGUGGUGUGCUACAGAAUCAACCGGGCCAACAUGUUAAGUCCCCGACAUGCCCCUAGCACACUAGUUUGGGUAUAUUCAUAGGUGCUAUUUUUAAAAAAUUAGUACAUGAUGAGUUGAACAGUUAAACUGACUUUUUAAAUUGCAGAAUGUCUUGGAGCUCUUGCAAUACUAGUGUGCACAGUCAUCUCUAAGAAAGGGGCAUUGCCUGCUCUGAUUCACAAACUUAUUAGGCCAGGAACCCUGCUUUCUGGUGUCUCCUGUGGGAUGCUUCUGGAAGAUACCGAAUGAGGUCUUAUCUCUCCACUAUGAAGCGAUGCGGUGUCAGGGGAGACUCCUCAUUGGACAGUCCCAAGUCAAAUCCUUUAUCCUCACACAACUGACUAUAUGAUCAUGAACUCUGGAUCAGCAGUUCCUCCUCGGGGGAAAAACCAUAGUAUCUGUUUGGCAAGCUUGAGGUCAGACUUGAGGAUGUGCACACAGCACGUCAUGAGUCCUCCAGGGACGGCACCGUCCACCUGGGCUCACUGAGCAAGAGAUGGAAUGGUACAAUUAUCCAUCUGAAGGCAGGGUCCCUCUCCAUCCCUAAAUUCUGGCUAAACACUUUUAACUCAAUACCUACUUCUGCUCUUUUUAUUCUAAAAGGAUUGUGAGCCAGGGGAGAAGUAAAUUUACCCAGCAGAUACUAGGAGUCCGUUAGAUGAAAUGUCAAUUAUUUGAUAAACCCCUUGAAUGAAUCUGAGGGCUGCCCUCUGCACUCACCAGCAAGCUCCCUGAGGACUGGGUAACCCCUGUACCAGGCCCCGAGGAAUCCGGGCUCCAGGCCUCGGUGUUGGGGGAACGGCCUCGCCAGCAGGUAUCAACACGGAGGAGCAGAGAUAUUUCCAUGGCGCGUCAGAGGAUUUUUUUUUUUUUUGCAGGAAAUAAAUCUUCAGAAGUGAGAAUUCUAAUUGAGCCGAGUUCAGGAUAGCCAAGUGUAAUUUUAGCAACAAAAGUAGAGGGUUCCAGAAAAAGCAUCUCAGGAACAGUCAAAUUAAGCUGCAGGGAGAUAAUUGGAUGGAAGGUUUGGUUAGGCAGCGCUUUGAGUGUUGAAGGGAAAAAAGAAUCUUUGGGCAGGAGGAAGUGAUGUCUUCUAUUGUAAGGAUGGGAAGGGAUACGGAAGAGGCACAUACUGAACGUUUGAGGCUUGGGGAACUUUUAUUCGAAGUUUUAAGAGUCUCAGCUGAAAAUUAUCUGUGAAAAUGUGAUCCACUUAAACCUGCCUAGUGACAAGGUCUGCAUCUUAAAAGUUCUCAUUUUGACAUAACUAUUCCUGCUCCCAGCUCAGAUCCCAGAACUUGCCUAAGGGACAGGACCCCCUCCUUCCCUGCUGAGCAAACUCCCUCCUCCCAACAGCCGUGACCCAGGGCCCUGCCAUUUGUCCUCAGUCACCUGGAUGGCCCUAGGGAGGCCUUGAACUGACCAGAAUGACUCCAUCCCUUCACCUCAUCCCCCCGUACCCAACAAAGUGCCUGACAUGCAGUAAACUCUCAAGAACAUUUAAUAAAUAAGGGGCAUCAUUCUCAUCACAAUAAUAUAAUAAAUAAUAAUAAAUAAUAAUUUUGUAUUAAUCAGGUUUUUGUCCAAGGAAUUCGAAGAGACAUUUUAUUUCUCUUUACCUAGUUCUGCUGUUCUUAUUUUAAGGUGGGUGGGGUUGGAGGAAGAAGAAAAUGUACGUACACAGACUGUAAGUCCAUUUGGUAAAAUGCCUACUAUUGAAUAAACUCCUUGGAAGCAAGCUGGCGUUCUGAACCCAAGGGUUUCGAUGUUCUAUCUAGAGUCAUGUCAACUAAACAAAUGCUUGAUCCAUGGUACAUUCGCUUCCUAGGGCUGCCAUUAAAACUUACCACGACCUGCGUAGUUCCAGAAGCCAGAAGUCCAAAAUCCAGGUGGCAGCACGUUGGUUCCAUCCAGACACUCUGAGAGGCUGUGUUCCGGGCCUCUCUCCCAGCUUUCUGUGGUAGCCAGCACUCCGUGGCACUCCUUGGCUUGUAGAUGGUGUCCUCUUCCAUCUCCAUGUGACCUCUGGUGUCCUCUUCCAUCUCCAUGUGACCUCCUUUUCUUUCUGUGUCUUCUCCCUUCUCCUCUUCUGUCUCUCAUAAGGAUGCUUGUCACUGGAUUCAGGGCCCAUUUGGAUAAUCCAGGAUGACCUCACCUCAAGAUCUUUAAUUUCUUAGCAUCUGCAUGGACCCCUUUCCAAAUAGGGCCAUAUUUACAGGAGGAGCAGGUGGACAGAUUUUGGGGCUCCACCAUUCAACCCAAACCCAUGGCUGAAUUGCUCACCAGCUAAACCAUGAUUCAACAAGACAAUCAGAAGGAGGGUCCAGGGGAGCCUCAUGUCACAGCUCCACACUCAUUGUUGAGACGACAGCCCUCAGGGACUAGAAAGCCUGCAUUAUGGCAUUUGACAGAGACAUAGGAUUUCAUUAUUUCAAGCUCCCUGGAGUAGAUCCAACAAGGCCCAGAGACCGCUCCUCCUGACGUGUGACAUGUCAUGGUUCAUGGUGUCUUUCCAUGCUGAGAGGGGGUGUCACCACAGCUGCAGAGGAAACCUUUGCCCGUGGACCACAGGGAAGUGCCAGAGGAUGUUAUCUGCCCUGCGAUUCCCCCAGUGAAGCAUCACUGUUGAGAAGUUUUCAGAACUGACUGUGAAGCAAGGAUUCACUUUUCUUACCAUACUGGUGUGUUUCUCCUAGUGUACAGGAAGGACGUGUUACUGGCUGAAUUUGCUUUUUCCAGUAAGAUGCUUAGUGCUGGCCGGGUGUGGUGGCUCAUGCCUGUAAUCCCAGCACUUUGGGAGGCCGAGGCAGGUGAUCACCUGAGGUCAGGAGUUUGAGACCAGCCUGGACAACAUGGUGUCAGCACAUUGGUUCCAUCCAGUCUCUACUAAAAAUACAAACUACAAAAAUACAAAAAUUAGCUGGGCAUGGUAGCACACGCCUGUAGUCCCAACUACUCGGGAGGCUGAGGCAGGAGAAUCGCUUGAACCCAGAAGGCGGAGGUUGCAGUGAGCCAAGAUCGUGCCACUGCACUCCAGCCUGGGUGACAGAGUGAGACUCCGUCUCAAAAAAAAAAGAAAAAAAAAAAAUGCAGCUCAGUGCUGUAUGUGAGUCUCCCAUUUGAUGCCGAUCCAGGAUCCAAGUCCUAAAUAUUUUCUUUCCCAUCUUCCCAUGGUCUGACCUCUAAUUCUGACAUUUUUCCAGAUCCUAACACAUGAUUAUUUUGUUAUACUUUUUCUUCUAAAUGAUUUCAGGUAUUCUUGUGGAAUGAAUGAAAGGUUGGCUGGAUGGAUCAGUGCAGGAUUAUGUGGAUAGAUGGAUGGGUGAAGGAUUAUGGUGGAUAGAUGGUUGAGUGGCUUAUGGUUGGGUAGAUGGGUGGAUGAUGGAUGUACAGAUAUAAGGGUUGAUAUGGGUGAAUGGAUUAGUGGAUGAGUGGGUAGGUGGGUGAAUGAACAGAUAGGUAAAUGGAUGUAGAGAUGGAUAGAUGGAUGGGUGGGUUAGUGGAUGGGUGAACAGAUUGGUGGGUGAGUAGGUAGGUGGAUGAAUGAGUGGAUGGGUGAACGGAUGUAGAGAUGGAUAGAUGGAUGGGUGGGUUAGUGGAUGGGUGAAUGGAUUGGUGGAUGAGUGGGUAGGUGGGUGAAGGAGUGGAUGGGUACAUGGAUGUAUAGAUGGAGAGAUGGAUGGGUGGGUUAGUAGAUGAGUAAAUGUGUAGAAGGAGGGGUGAGUGAUGGAAGGAGUAAAGUGGUGGUAAGGUAGAUGGCUGGAUAUUUGGAUGUUUGGAUAGUUGGGUGGAUGGCUAGUUUCCAGAAAGAGGGUACUUUAAAACCAUAUGGACAUCUGAUUCCAUUUUAAUGACUAUAAAUAUUUAAAAUAGAAUUAUAACUGUUGGUCAAGAUUUAUCAAACUGUUCAACUUACCAUAAUUCUUUGAUUUUUUUACAUAAUUCAAAUACGUCAUUUUAUUUUCAUUUUUGUUUUACCGACAUUAAUUUUGUGGGAAUCAAUUACUUUGGUUUGAAUUUUACAAGUAUUCAACAACAAUCGGUGUGGUCAUACAAAUCUUCUGCGAUUAUACCAAUGAUAAACACUGUACAUUUUCUUUUUAGGUGCAUUCUUUCUACACAGUUUAAAAUUUCCAAGUUAAAUUUUGCAUAUUUAAAGUUUUCAAAAAUGAUAAGAAUACAUUUUACUGUGUGAAGCUUAUUGCCUGACACAUUUAUUUUGUGUUACUUCUACCAGCAAUAUCAUCAUAAAAUAAAUGAAAUAUGCC